rnacentral:rRNA from 1 species
CCUACGGGCGGCAGCAGUGAGGAAUAUUGGUCAAUGGUCGGGAGACUGAACCAGCCAAGCCGCGUGAGGGAGGAAGGUACAGAGUAUCGUAAACCUCUUUUGUCAGGGAACAAAGGCGGGGACGUGUCCCCGGAUGAGUGUACCUGAAGAAAAAGCAUAGGCUAACUCCGUGCCCGCAGCCGCGGUAAUACGGAGGAAGCGAGCUUUAACCGGAUUUAGUGGGUUUAACGGGUGCGCAGGCGGUAUGUUAAGUCAGCGGUCAAAGCCCGGGGCUCAACCCCGGCCCGCCGUUGAAAAUGGCAGUCUCGAGUUGGAGAGAAGUAUGCGGAAUGCGCGGUGUAGCGGUGAAAUGCAUAGAUAUCGCGCAGAACUCCGAUUGCGAAGGCAGCAUGCCGGCUCCACACUGACGCUGAGGCACGAAAGCGUGGGUAUCGAACAGGAUUAGAUACCCUGGUAGUC